CCUACGGGAGGCUGCAGUGGGGAAUAUUGGACAAUGGGGGGAACCCUGAUCCAGCCAUGCCGCGUGUGUGAAGAAGGCCCUCGGGUUGUAAAGCACUUUCAGUGAGGAAGAACGCCUGGUGGUUAAUACCCAUCAGGAAAGACAUCACUCACAGAAGAAUCACCGGCUAACUCCGUGCCAGCAGCCGCGGUAAUACGGAGGGUGCGAGCGUUAAUCGGAAUUACUGGGCGUAAAGCGCGCGUAGGUGGCUUGAUAAGCCGGUUGUGAAAGCCCCGGGCUCAACCUGGGAACGGCAUCCGGAACUGUCAAGCUAGAGUGCAGGAGAGGAAGGUAGAAUUCCCGGUGUAGCGGUGAAAUGCGUAGAGAUCGGGAGGAAUACCAGUGGCGAAGGCGGCCUUCUGGACUGACACUGACACUGAGGUGCGAAAGCGUGGGUAGCAAACAGGAUUAGAUACCCGGGUAGUC
rnacentral:rRNA from 1 species